rnacentral:tRNA from 2 species
GGGCGAAUAGCUCAGUCGGUAGAGCGCUUCGCUUACACCGAAGAGGUCCGGGGUUCAAGUCCCUGUUCGCCCA